CCAACCUCUACGUUCCUAAAUGCCACUCCUAUUUUAACACUUGAUUAAGUUUUUCACAUAGUUAAUAUAUUUUUCCAUGAUUGUGUGCAGCUGCUGGACUGCGCAACAGAAGCCUUGCUAAUAAAGCAGAGAUUGUUGGUGAGGUCGAAAAGAAUGUGUGGCCUGCUGUCGCUGCUGGCAAGGUGAAGCCGGUGAUUUACAAGACGUUUCCGUUGUCUGAAGCUGCUGAGGCUCAUAGGUUGAUGGAAGCUAGCACCCACAUCGGCAAGAUACUGCUGCUUCCAUGACUGUGCCUGUAGCUUUUGGGCUCUUUAGUUCUGGAGGAGUCAGUUCAAGAACAUAUGCAACUUCUGUGACAGUCUGCAUGAAUGGUGUACUGGUGUAGC
rnacentral:lncRNA from 1 species